GACCACUCUGGUGGCUUCAGUGGUCAGAGCAUCUGCCUUGGAUGCAGGAGGUCAUGGGUUUGAGCCCCAGCUGAGUCA